GGGGAAUAUUGGACAAUGGGCGAAAGCCUGAUCCAGCCAUGCCGCGUGAGUGAUGAAGGCCCUAGGGUUGUAAAGCUCUUUUGUGCGGGAAGAUAAUGACGGUACCGCAAGAAUAAGCCCCGGCUAACUUCGUGCCAGCAGCCGCGGUAAUACGAAGGGGGCUAGCGUUGCUCGGAAUCACUGGGCGUAAAGGGUGCGUAGGCGGGUUUCUAAGUCAGAGGUGAAAGCCUGGAGCUCAACUCCAGAACUGCCUUUGAUACUGGAAGUCUUGAGUUCGGGAGAGGUGAGUGGAACUGCGAGUGUAGAGGUGAAAUUCGUAGAUAUUCUCAAGAACACCAGUGGCGAAGGCGGCUCACUGGCCCGAUACUGACGCUGAGGCACGAAAGCGUGGGGAGCAAACA
rnacentral:rRNA from 1 species